rnacentral:misc_RNA from 1 species
AUGGGAUUCGUCGGAUUCUUCGUGAAAUUAAUCUUCAUUCCGAUCAACAACAUCAUUGUCAGUUCUGGUUAGGCCUCAUGGAUUAUUGACAAUUCUAUGGGAUGCAAGCGGUUCAAUUGAAAGUUGUUUUUGAAGAGGAAUGCUAAGCAUUUUGGAUUUCUUAGGUAAUGUUUUGAUAUGUACGCGAUACUUGAGUUAAACCA